UGGCAAGGAAGCGCUUGACUGGUUCGGUUACAGCUGAGUGUGGAGCCAGACCGUGGGUUAUGCGGAUACACCACAAGCCGAAUAGAUUCUUCGGAAUUGAAGGGAAACGAAAAAG
rnacentral:ncRNA from 1 species